AAGUCGUAACAAGGUUUCUGUGCGGAAGGAUCAUUAACACGUAUCCAAACGUUAAAACCCCCCCCGUGAACCUUCAUCCUGCUCUUGUAACCCGCGUAGUUCGCAAUCUCUGAUAAAUCAUAGCCCGGAAAGUUGUAGUGAUUCAGGGACCUCUGUCAUUGAUUGUGCAAGGAUAGCGCUUCUACGAUUCCUGUAGACCGUACACUCGGGCAGGAGCUUUGCCAAAGGGUCCCCAUGCCCCCUAAUAACCCCACAGUUUAAUUUGCAGCUCAAUGGAAUACAUUGGGUAAAAAAACCGAACAACUGUUAACAAUGGAUAUCUUGGUUCUC
rnacentral:misc_RNA from 1 species